CUCGGGAGGCUCCGGGCGGCCCUGCGCGCUCAGCAGCCCGGCGGUGGCAGCGCACAGCACCAGGGCUGCUCCGGCUGUUGGCGCACAGCGCAUCCUUCCGGGUGGUGUGGACGCCGGGACGCGGGGAUCGGAGAGGCAGGGCUCACUUGCUCCGGGAGAAGCCAGCCACCAUACUGUGAGGACACUCAAGCAGCCCUUUGGAGAGAUCUGCAAGGUGAGGAACUGAGGCCUCCACCCAACAACCAGCAUCAGCUUGUCUGCCACACAAGGGAGCUAUCUUGGAAGCAGAUCCUCCAGCCCCAGUCAAGCUUUCAGAUGAUGUAGCCUCACUUGGCAUCUGUUAGCAACCUCAUGAGACUCCAAGCCAGAACCACCCAGCUAAGCUGCUCCCAAACUCCUGACCCACAGAAAAAUCCUUUAAGCCUCUGAUCAUUGCCUUUGGGCUGGUGUUUUUCUGUUGCCAGUGCCAGCCUCAGACCAGGGCAAGAGGGACCUCUGUUAUGGCACUGCACUUUGGAGGGUGAAUGCCUCCACCAGGCAAGGAGUUGUGGGAGCAAUGGGUAUAUUUACUGGAGCCCAUAGACUUCCUUUUAGACCAUUGAGUUUCCAUUUGGGCUGGUGGAAAAGUUCUGGAACUAGGUAGAAGUUGUACAACAUUGUAUGUGUACUUAAUGCCACUGAAUUGUAUUCAUUAAAAUGGUUAAACUUUUUCUAUUAUGUAUGUUUUACCACAAUUUAAAAACUCUAAUCUAAAAAAAACCCAAAUCUUAUUAAAACAAAAAAGAAAUAAUAAAUUUGAAUCUGGCCUUUCAUAUUGUUUUGAAGGUAUAUUUUUAAAACUGGGAGGAUAGAACAUAUUUUAUUAUUUAACAGCAUUAGUGUAUUAGUUUUCCUUUUUUUUUUAGAAAUCAGGAGCAUAUUUUUUUUUUUUUUGAAGAUGUUGGGGGUAGGAGUUUAUUAAUUAAUUAAUUUAUUUUUGCUGUGUUGGGUUUUCGUUUCUGUGCGAGGGCUUUCUCUAGUUGUGGCAACAGGGGGCCACUCUUCAUCGCGGUGCGCGGGCCUCUCACUAUCGCGGCCUCUCUUGUUGCGGAGCGCAGGCUCCAGACAUGCAGGCUCAGUAGUUGUGGCUCACGGGCCUAGUUGCUCCGCGGCAUGUGGGAUCCUCCUAGACCAGGGCUCGAACCCGUGUCCCCUGCAUUAGCAGGCAGAUUCUCAACCACUGCACCACCAGGGAAGCCCAAUCAGUUUUCUUUUGCUGUGUAACAAACAUUCCCCAAACUUAGUGGCUCAAAACCACAUCCAGUGGACUCAGCUGAGCAGUUCUUUUCCCUGGUGAUCCUCCCUCACAUAAAGGAAGAGAGGCAUAUAUAUAUAUAUAUUCCACACAAAUAUAUAUAUAUAUAUAUAUAUAUAUAUUCCAUAUAUAUUUCUCUUCUCUGUCUCUCUCUGUCUCUCUCUAUAUAUAUGUAUGCAAGAUUUAAUUAUAAGGUAGUGCCUAGUUCAGUGUAUAACAUUCUCAGGAUUUGUAACACUUACAUGAACAGACAGAAAAAAUAUUUUCUACUUAUUAUGUGUAAA